UACGUAGGGGGCUAGCGUUGUCCGGAAUCAUUGGGCGUAAAGAGCGUGUAGGCGGCCCGGUAAGUCCGCUGUAAAAGUCAAAGGCUCAACCUUUGAAUGUCAGUGGAUACUGCCGGGCUAGAGUCCGGAAGAGGCGAGUGGAACUCCUGGUGUAGCGGUGGAAUGCGCAGAUAUCGGGAGGAACACCAGUAGCGAAGGCGGCACUCUGGGCCGGUACUGACGCUGAGGAGCGAAAGCGUGGGGAGCGAACAGG
rnacentral:rRNA from 1 species